rnacentral:lncRNA from 10 species
CGCGGACCCACCGAGCCCGCGCUCAGACGCCCCAGCUCCGCCGAGAGGCCGCUCUCGCCGGGUCCUUCCUCUUCCCCAAGUGCAGGCAGAGCCCCCGGAGCCAUGGCCAGCCCUUCCGGCAGCUCCGAAGCCACUGGCAAGCCCCGAGGCAGGGAUGGCCGGCCCAGGAGGGAGGAGGACGACGUCCCUCCCGGGGAGAAGAGGCUGCGGCUGUUGCUGGAGGGGGGAAGAGCACAGCCCUAGGACUGCGAGGACGGGGAGGACGCGCCGCGGCCGGGCAGGGAGGAGACCGGCACCCAGACAGGUGGCGACGGCAGAGGAAUGUUUACUGAGCACUUGCUCUGUGCCAGGCGCUGUCCCAGGUGCUGGUCCUGCAGGAGUAUGUGGAGCCUAGAGUUUGAUGAGGGAGGAGCCAUUGAUGAAAUGCCACCCAAGAAGACUGCAACAGACGCUGUUGAAGCCUGCAGCAGAUGCUGUGGGAACCUCACUCAACCCCUCAGCUCUCACCUUUGAGGUGAAUGCCAAUGGUAUCCUGAGAUUCUUCACCUAAGGGCAUUCUCGAGGUUGGCACAGAGGGCAAGCUGGAAUUUUGAACCUCUCAACCCCCAUCCAUGGGAACUGGAAGACAAAAAUAUCCAGCUUCCUUAUCUAAUCAAGUGGGAUAGCUCUGAGGCCUGUUCUACAAUCUCCCAAGGACCCCUAACAGGAUGGAGCCCCAGCUGCCCACAGCAAUAACUGGCUCGCGAAUGCACUCCACAUCAUGCCCUUCCCGUCCCUGAAUCACUCCCUCGCUCCCAGACCUGGGCUCACUCUCCAAGUAAACUACUGACACUCAAAUCUUUGUCUCAGAGUGUGGUGCUGGGAAACUCAGCCUGAGACAGAUGUAAUUACAAACUGUGAUAGCUGCAAGCAAGGAGAGGGAUGCCGGGCCGCAUUCUGACAAGGUGUUGUCUGAAAUGACAGCUAAGGAAGCAUAGGCAUUAUCUAAUGUAGAUCGUCAGGAUGCAGCACAGCAAACAGAAACCGUUUUAGGAACAUUAACAGGAGGCAGGAAGGGUUGACCCAGCAGGGCUGGCUGUCAGCUCCUUGCACUGCUGCUAUGGCUUCACAGGUAUGUCAAGCCAGAAUCUGUCCAUCCAGCUGGGGCACAUGUACUGAUUGGCUAAUGCCUGUCUUGGACCGGCUGAUGAAUGUUUUGAAUAUUGCUCUGGAAUUAGGUGCUUAUAAAAUUGUUGCCGGGCUUAGAGAGUAGGCUUGCAGAACGCUGUUUUCUCUGUUUCCAAUCAGGAAGGUGAGAAAUCUGGAGGCCACCAUCAGGAUUAUUAAUAUUCUAAAACUCAUUUAUGGUACCCCUUGGUAAGAUUACUAAAGAAAUCACUAGGCCAGGUGCGGUGGCUCACACCUGUAAUCCCAGCACUUUGGGAGGCUGAGGCGGGCAGAUCACAAGGUUAGGAGUUCGAGACCAGCCUGACCAACAUGGUGAAACCCUACCUCUACUAAAAAUACAAAACUUAGCCGGGCGUGGUGGCACGUGCCUAUAAUCACAGCUGCCCGGGAGGCUGAGGCAGGAGAAUCGUUUGAGCCUGGGAGGCGGAGGUUGCAGUGAGCCAAGAUUGCACCACUGCACUCCAGCCUGGGCGACAGAGCAAGACUCCGUCUCAAAAAACAAAACAAAAAUUAUACUAAGUGAAACCAGACACAAAGGUCAUAUAUUAUAUAAUUCAAUUUUUAUGAAAUGUACACAACAAGCAAAUUCAUAGAGAAAGAAAAUCGACUAGUUGUCGGGCUGAGGGAGGACGUGGGAAGAUUGGGGGAGAGAUAGCUAAAGUGUACAGGGUUUCUUUUGGGGGUG